CUAGCUUCACCAGCGACCUGAGCAGUGAUCUCCAGCCUCCUCAGCAAACGUUGCCGAUGGACAGUGACACCACUGAGCAUGUGGAGAUCUCUGGGGGGAAGACCCCUUGCUUGCCACUGAAGUCCUACAGGUCCU